GACGAACGCUGGCGGCGUGCCUAACACAUGCAAGUCGAACGAGGUCCAAGGGAGCUUGCUCCCUGACGACCUAGUGGCGAACGGGUGAGUAACACGUGAGAAACCUGCCUCGGAGUGGGGAAUAACUCGGGGAAACUCGAGCUAAUACCGCAUACCUUCAGAUGGUCGCAUGGCCGACUGAAGAAAGAAUUUCGCUCUGAGAGGGUCUCGCGGCCUAUCAGCUAGUUGGUGGGGUAACGGCCUACCAAGGCAACGACGGGUAGCUGGAUUGAGAGAUCGAUCAGCCACACUGGGACUGAGACACGGCCCAGACUCCUACGGGAGGCAGCAGUGGGGAAUCUUGCGCAAUGGGCAAAAGCCUGACGCAGCAACGCCGCGUGCGGGAUGACGGCCUUCGUGGUUGUAAACCGCUUUCAGCAGGGACGAAAUUGACGGUACCUGCAGAAGAAGCUCCGGCUAACUACGUGCCAGCAGCCGCGGUAA
rnacentral:rRNA from 1 species